UACCGAGGUCCCAAGCGUUGUUCGGAUUCACUGGGCGUAAAGGGUGCGUAGGCGGUCGGGUAAGUCUGACGUGAAAUCUUCAAGCUCAACUUGGAAACUGCGUCCGAUACUAUUCGGCUAGAGGAAUGGAGGGGAGACUGGAAUACUUGGUGUAGCAGUGAAAUGCGUAGAUAUCAAGUGGAACACCAGUGGCGAAGGCGAGUCUCUGGACAUUUCCGGACGCUGAGGCACGAAAGCCAGGGGAGCAAACGGG
rnacentral:rRNA from 1 species